CAAAGACGCCCGAGAGCCUGGGCGCCGGCACAGAGCAACGAGACCCGCUCUAGUAGCC
rnacentral:ribozyme from 1 species